rnacentral:misc_RNA from 1 species
AACUAUCCCUACCAAAGAAUAAGCCAUAACCAUUCAAGCAGCCAGCGAGAUCCUAUUAAGAAGAUUCCUUGAAAACUGUCAUGAAGCUGCCCAUUCAUUACAAGUAGUAAAUGAUUAUAGAGAAAACAUCAAGAAUAGAAUUUUUUUUAUUAUUUAAUUUGUACUUUACAAUUUGUCCAGUUAGACAUUUGGUAAAUUUUUCUAAUUGAAGAAUAGAAUUGAUUUCUCAAUGAAGGAUAGAAUUGACCGGAUCUGCGAAAAAAAGCUUACGCCACAAUCGCCAAAAGAUAGUCACGUGAGUACUUGGACGUCAGAAAUCGAUACUGACUUUGCAUAGGUUGCCAGCUAACAAAUAUAUCACAAUAAACAAAACAAAUUGCACCAUUGUGAAAACGAUUAUACAAUUGAACUUAAAUGGAUACUACAGACUCUACGACAAACUCCAAAUAAUCCCAAAACUACACAACCCAGAUUUAUUAUGCCUGCAAGAAACAAACUUCAAGAAUAACCAUCAUUCUACAUUAGAACACUAUAACACCGUAAGGAAUAGAGAAAACGGAAAAUGCAAUAAAUGCAAACGACAAUAUUACAACAAGUACUGUUCCAUCGAAAUUCCACUAUCUACGAAUCUAGAAACGAAAUUACAAAUUUAACUUCAAUCACUAGAAAAUUUAAGACACUACAAAGAAACAAUUCUUAAGAAACAUUUCUUUUAAUAAUAAAAUUUCUCUCGUAACACUACAAUGUAAAGGACGUAAUACAUGGUCAGAUACGAACAGAUUAGAUAACUCAAAGAAAACAGAUGAAAAUUAAAGAAAAGGUCAUUAAAAAAGUGAAAAAAGGAGAAGGAAGAUCCUAUUAUAGAGCAGAGCAUAAUAAAAAAUAAAGGAAACUAGGGACUAAGGGAUAGGGUGGAGGACUGACAGUAGAAGGGCAAAAACAUCAGAAGAGAUGGAGGAAAUGAGGAAAUUAGGAAGUUUUUAGAGAAGGGAGAACCUUGUGCUAAACAUGGAAAAGUCCAAAAUAAUGGUUUUCAGAAACGCGAGAGGAAAGUGAAAAAUAGAAAAAUAAUUUUUGGAAGGGAGAAAAGUGGUCAGUAAAAGAAUUUAAAUGUCUAAAAUACAGUCUGAAACAAAAUCCACUAAUUUGACUCGUUAAUCAAAAGUAUUAUGCUGUAUAGAGCAAAGAAAUGGGGCUGGAAAGUACAAAACAGGCUGGGCAUGAUAAGGUAAGUAUUUAAGGUAAAUAUUUAAAAGGAAUAUUAAGAUUUAACUGAAACAUCUCGAGAUAUGUUGUAAAGGGUGAAAAUACAGAAACAAAAUUAUAGUAAAAGCAGGCAAAAAAUCAACAGCACUUGAAGAAAAAAUAAGGUGAGAGUCAGAUGAUGAAAUAUUAAAGGAAUGUUUAUAAGAAAUAAAAAGAGAGAAGAUAGUACGAUAACAAAGUAGCAGAAAAAAGGAGGGAAUUUUGCUUUAAAAAUGGUCUAUUAAUAAGAGCAGUAAAAAGAAGAGAUACUAGAAAGAGUGUUAUGAGCGAAGUAGUGACGAAGGAAAUUGAAAUACAAAGGCAAUAGCUGUACAACAAGAAACAACAAUUAAGAUACAAUACAGAAUACAGAGAAACUGAACAAGACGAAUGGCAAAAUAAUUAAC